rnacentral:rRNA from 1 species
UACGUAGGGUGCGAGCGUUGUCCGGAAUUAUUGGGCGUAAAGGGCUCGUAGGCGGCUUGUUGAGUCGGGCGUGAAAACACACAGCUUAACUGUGUGCUUGCUUCCGAUACGGGCAGACUAGAGGUAUGCAGGGGAGAACGGAAUUCCUGGUGUAGCGGUGAAAUGCGCAGAUAUCAGGAGGAACACCGGUGGCGAAGGCGGUUCUCUGGGCAUUACCUGACGCUGAGGAGCGAAAGUGUGGGGAGCGAACAGG